rnacentral:SRP_RNA from 1 species
GGCGGGCCUCCCCGCAUUGUAUAGUAGUGAACUUGGUCAGGUCCGGAAGGAAGCAGCCACAGCUAUUCUCUGCAAGUGCCGGGGGAUAGGCUCGCCGCC